UACGGAAUGAACUCAAAUCAUGUAAGAUUUUUAAUGGUCGAACAGACCAACCUUUGGUAACUGCUGCAUUACCAGGAUAACUUAAUUCAACAUCGAGGUGUCAAACCUCAUCUUCGAUACCGUCUCUAGGAUGAAAUUAACCUGUUAUCCCUAAAGUAGCUUUUAUCUAAUUAUUGUCGUAAUUUUUAUAAAUUAGCGACAGGUCAUUAACCCCACUUUGUGAUUGUUAAAUUUAUGAAUUAAACAAUAAAUCUUAUUUUUAUAUUAAAUUGGAUGAUCCAAUUGGUUGCUAUUCUUUUUUUUUAAAACGCCGUUGCCCCAACGAAACUACCUCCCCUACUAAGUUAGGGUAAAAAUUUAUUUUGAUUUUUACCAAGGUAAUAGGAAAAUAGUGAAGCUUUAUAGGGUCUUCUCGUCUUACAGUUCUAAGUAGAAUCUUCACUACUAUUUAAAUUUUUAAAGUGGUUUAUACCCAAGACAGUGGAAACCUCGUGGAGCCAUUCACCUACGUUCGUCAAUUAAACGACUAUUUAUUUUCCUACAAUUAUCACCGUCAAGAUACAGCGGCCGUUAAAUACAUUUUUCAAAUCAUUCUCAUUUGGUUUGAAUUAUCACUGGGCAGGCAACGCCUUGCAUGAUAUGCAGGGUUAUGUUUUUGGUAAACAGUCGAA
rnacentral:rRNA from 1 species